UGGGGAAUCUUCCGCAAUGGACGAAAGUCUGACGGAGCAACGCCGCGUGGGUGAUGAAGGUUUUCGGAUCGUAAAGCCCUGUCAAUGAGGACGAAUGGUUAUCUUGCAAAUAGUGGGAUAACAUGACGGUACUCAAGGAGGAAGCCACGGCUAACUACGUGCCAGCAGCCGCGGUAAUACGUAGGUGGCAAGCGUGGUCCGGAAUUAUUGGGCGUAAAGGGCGCGUAGGCGGAUAGUUAAGUCUGUCGUAAAAAUGCGGGGCUCAACCCCGUAGUGGCGAUGGAAACUGGAUAUCUUGAGAGCAGGAGAGGAAAGUAGAAUUCCCAGUGUAGCGGUGAAAUGCGUAGAUAUUGGGAGGAAUACCAGUGGCGAAGGCGGCUUUCUGGACUGUUUCUGACGCUGAGGCGCGAAAGCGAGGGGAGCGAACG
rnacentral:rRNA from 1 species